rnacentral:rRNA from 1 species
AGCGGCAGCGCGGGGGCAACCCUGGCGGCGAGCGGCGGACGGGUGAGUAAUGCAUCGGAACGUAUCCCGUAGUGGGGGACAACCCAGCGAAAGCUGGGCUAAUACCGCAUAUGCUCUACGGAGGAAAGUGGGGGACUCGCAAGGGCCUCACGCUAUGGGAGCGGCCGAUGUCCGAUUAGCUAGUUGGUGGGGUAAAGGCUUACCAAGGCGACGAUCGGUAGCUGGUCUGAGAGGAUGAUCAGCCACACUGGGACUGAGACACGGCCCAGACUCCUACGGGAGGCAGCAGUGGGGAAUUUUGGACAAUGGGGGCAACCCUGAUCCAGCCAUGCCGCGUGCGGGAAGAAGGCCUUCGGGUUGUAAACCGCUUUUGGUCGGGAAGAAAGGGUUCGUCCUAACAGGGCGGACUGUUGACGGUACCGGCAGAAUAAGCACCGGCUAACUACGUGCCAGCAGCCGCGGUAAUACGUAGGGUGCGAGCGUUAAUCGGAAUUACUGGGCGUAAAGCGUGCGCAGGCGGUGAGUUAAGUCUGAUGUGAAAGCCCCGGGCUCAACCUGGGAAUGGCAUUGGAAACUGGCUCGCUGGAGUGUGGCAGAGGGGGGUGGAAUUCCGCGUGUAGCAGUGAAAUGCGUAGAGAUGCGGAGGAACACCGAUGGCGAAGGCAGCCCCCUGGGCCAACACUGACGCUCAGGCACGAAAAGCGUGGGGGAGCAAACAGGAUUAGAUACCCUGGUAGUCCACGCCCUAAACGAUGUCAACU